rnacentral:rRNA from 1 species
CUACGGGGCGCAGCAGUGGGGAAUAUUGGACAAUGGGCGAAUGCCUGAUCCAGCAAUGCCGCGUGUGUGAAGAAGGCCUUAGGGUUGUAAAGCACUUUCAGUAGGGAGGAAGGUUGCAAUGCUAAUAUCAUUGCAAAUUGACGUUACCUACAGAAGAAGCACCGGCUAACUCUGUGCCAGCAGCCGCGGUAAUACAGAGGGUGCUAGCGUUAAUCGGAAUUACUGGGCGUAAAGCGUGUGUAGGUGGUUAGAUAAGUUAGAUGUGAAAUCCCCGGGCUUAACCUGGGCAUUGCGUUUAAGACUGUUUAGCUUGAGUACUGUAGAGGAUAGUGGAAUUUCCAGUGUAGCGGUGAAAUGCGUAGAUAUUGGAGGGAACACCAGUGGCGAAGGCGACUAUCUGGACAGAUACUGACACUGAGACACGAAAGCGUGGGGAGCAAACAGGAUUAGAUACCCGAGUAGUC